UGGGGAAUCUUCCGCAAUGGGCGCAAGCCUGACGGAGCAACGCCGCGUGAAUGAAGAAGGCCUUCGGGUCGUAAAGUUCUGUCAUCAGGGACGAAGUCUCUGUGUGCAAAUAGUGCAUAGAGGUGACGGUACCUGAGGAGGAAGCUCCGGCUAACUACGUGCCAGCAGCCGCGGUAAUACGUAGGGAGCAAGCGUUGUCCGGAAUUACUGGGCGUAAAGGGCGCGUAGGCGGGUUAUUAAGUCAGAUGUGAAAACUCCGGGCUUAACUUGGAGACUGCAUUUGAAACUGGUAAUCUUGAGGUCAGGAGAGGAAAGUGGAAUUCCUAGUGUAGCGGUGAAAUGCGUAGAUAUUAGGAGGAACACCAGUGGCGAAGGCGACUUUCUGGACUGUACCUGACGCUGAUGCGCGAAAGCGUGGGGAGCAAACAGG
rnacentral:rRNA from 2 species